UGCCACACCACCCUGAACACGCCCGAUCUCGUCUGAUCUCGAAAGCUAAGCAGGGUCGGGCCUGGUUAGUACUUGGAUGGGAGACCUCCUGGGAAUACCAGGUGUCGUAGGCA
rnacentral:rRNA from 1 species